UAAUACGUAGGGGGCAAGCGUUGUCCGGAUUUAUUGGGCGUAAAGAGCUCGUAGGCGGUUCAGCAAGUCGGGUGUGAAAAAUCUGGGCUCAACCCAGUGGAGCACCCGAUACUGCUGUGACUAGAGUCCGGUAGGGGAGUGUGGAAUUUCUGGUGUAGCGGUGAAAUGCGCAGAUAUCAGAAGGAACACCAACGGCGAAGGCAGCACUCUGGGCCGGUACUGACGCUGAGGAGCGAAAGCGUGGGGAGCGAACAGGAUUAGAUACCCUGGUAGUCCACGCCGUAAACGUUGGGCACUAGGUGUGGGGAGGAAUCAACCCUUUCCGUGCCGCAGCUAACGCAUUAAGUGCCCCGCCUGGGGAGUACGGCCGCAAGGCUA
rnacentral:rRNA from 1 species